rnacentral:misc_RNA from 1 species
GAAAUGCGAUACGUGAUGUGAUCUGCAUUCUCGUGAAUCAUCGAAUCUUUGAACGCAAAUGGCGCUCGACCACUCGUGGCCGAGCAUGUCUGUUUGAGGGUCAGUUAUACCUGGUUUACCCUUUCCCUUCAUCGGGGGGGAAAGAGUGAGACGAUGGGAGUUCAGGUUUCUCUCGGGAAAGCUGAUCUCCUGAAAUGCAUAUCUUCGUUGCAAGCCCGGAAGCAAAUCGAGUUAUGGUCCGAGGCCCCGACCUUUUUUCACGGGGCCGAUCACAAACGGAAGCAAAACUCUUGUUUUCCUUUGCAAACAAAAAGGCCUUUGAAACCUUUUUAACCCAAAAACUAAAUGACCUCAAAUCAGGCAAGAGCACCCGCUGAACUUAA